CUGUGGCCUGGUCUUCUGGGUCCUUUUUGCCCCUGAGGGACCAGAGAUGAAAACUUUUGGACAAUAUGGGGGAGCUGCCAGAGUUGUGUAGGAAGAGGUCACCUCUGAAGGUCUGUGUAGUCACUCUUUUGGAGGAUUCCUGCUGGCCCUGGAGAAUGCCCUCCUUUUCAGGGGGAGCAGACAUCCUGGCAACUAGAUGGAACAGGAGACAGACUGUUGUUGCCUGGACCCCAAAAGAAACCCUUUCAACCAAAACAGUCCCAGACAAGAGCACUCCAGCUCACUGCAUGAUCUUGGAAAAGGCUCACCUGUUUCCAUGCCUGUUUUGUUCCUUUUACAAUAAAGAGAUAAACUGGG